rnacentral:rRNA from 1 species
AUGAAGACUUUGGUAUUUUAUAUCAUCAAUGGCAUCAGAUUUAAUACCCAUGAUUUAUUCAUCAGAGAACUUGCUGCAUCUGGGAUUGAUCUGUUUGGCUUGAAGUUUUAUGCUCCCUGGGUGAUGCGCCUAAUCAAACUUCAUUCUUCUGUUGACUAUCAGCCCUCAGCGCGCAACCAUCUUAUCUUUCUGCCUGAGGUUGAUCUGUCCGUUGAAGCCAUCUACCCCGAGCCUGCCAAGGAGCCGCUAUAUCUUCAUAAUGUUGAUCACCAAAGCUUCACACAACCCAUAGAAGGCAUUCAUGUUCCCAAUGCUGCAACUCCAUCUUAUCCUCUGGCUGGCAAUAUGCGUGUGCCCCAUCAUGCAAACACCGAAGCCACUGAUAGCACUAUUGCCCAAAGGCCUCGGAAGCGUUCCCGUGUACUCAAUGACCGAGAACUUCUUGUGGCCUUACAUCAGAAGCAGGAUAAGCAUCAUGACUAG